rnacentral:rRNA from 1 species
GACGAACGCUGGCGGCGUGCUUAACACAUGCAAGUCGAACGGUGAAGGGGUCUGCUUUUGUGGGCCCUGGAUGAGUGGCGCACGGGUGAGUAACACGUGAGUAACCUGCCCCCUUCUUCUGGAUAACCGCAUGAAAGUGUGGCUAAUACGGGAUAUUCUGGGUCUGUCGCAUGAUGGGUCUGGGAAAGAUUGCGCCUUUGGGUGUUUUUGGUGGGGGAUGGGCUCGCGGCCUAUCAGCUUGUUGGUGGGGUGAUGGCCUACCAAGGCGGUGACGGGUAGCCGGCCUGAGAGGGUGGACGGUCACACUGGGACUGAGACACGGCCCAGACUCCUACGGGAGGCAGCAGUGGGGAAUAUUGCACAAUGGGCGCAAGCCUGAUGCAGCGACGCCGCGUGAGGGAUGGAGGCCUUCGGGUUGUAAACCUCUUUCGCCAGUGAAGCAGGCCCGCUCCUUGUGGGUGGGUUGACGGUAGCUGGAUAAGAAGCGCCGGCUAACUACGUG